rnacentral:rRNA from 1 species
GACGAACGCUGGCGGCGUGCUUAACACAUGCAAGUCGAACGGAAAGGCCCUGCUUUUGUGGGGUGCUCGAGUGGCGAACGGGUGAGUAACACGCGAGUAACCUGCCCUUGACUUUGGGAUAACUUCAGGAAACUGGGGCUAAUACCGGAUAGGAGCUCCUGCUGCAUGGUGGGGGUUGGAAAGUUUCGGCGGUUGGGGAUGGACUCGCGGCUUAUCAGCUUGUUGGUGGGGUAGUGGCUUGCCAAGGCUUUGACGGGUAGCCGGCCUGAGAGGGUGACCGGCCACAUUGGGACUGAGAUACGGCCCAGACUCCUACGGGAGGCAGCAGUGGGGAAUAUUGCACAAUGGGCGGAAGCCUGAUGCAGCAACGCCGCAUGCGGGAUGACGGCCUUCGGGUUGUAAACCGCUUUCGCCUGUGACGAAGCGUGAGUGACGGUAAUGGGUAAAGAAGCACCGGCUAACUACGUG